GGUGGUGAAGACAAUCUGAUGAUGACAUUGGUCUCCCCAUUGAUCCUAGGAUUUAUCAGACAAUCUGGCUGGAUGGGCAAGUGUCCCUUUUCUCCCUCUUUGCUUUAUAUGUACACUUAAUAGACAUGGAUAACCUUCCCUGAGGGAAGCAUUCUAUUCUUUUUUUUUUUUUCAAGGGUAAAGGCAA
rnacentral:snRNA from 1 species